UUUAUAAAGAAGUAGCAUGAUUUUUUUGGUAUAAUUAUUUCUAAAAAUUUUUUAGGUUAAGUUUGGGGUUUUCAAUUUUGCCAUUAGGUUUGCAUAAGAAUGCAAAACAGUAAAAUAUGUUCCGAAAUGUGCAAAAUAAAGAAAGAAUAUGGAAAACCAGAUAAAACUGACAAGUCUAAGAGGGAACAGAAGAACAAAUUUGAAAUACCAGUAUAUGGGGUAGACGUUGCUUACGGUUUUGGUGGCACUGGUAGUUAUAUCGACAACAGAAAUUAUGAAGUUCAUCAUUUGUAUGACUGGCAGGUAUACAAAAACUUUAAUAAUGCAAUUAAAGACUUCGAUGAGAUGGACGCAUUAAAUAAUGCCUCUUAUGAUACUGGCAGCGACAAUGACAUGAUAAACGACAUUGACUAUGAAAUUAUCUAUGACGCAAAACAAUCAAAUUUCCGAUAAAUAACCAACCUAUCUAUGAUACCUACGAAUGUGAAGAAAACGAAUUUGUGAAGUGCCAUGUUUUGCUUUAAACUUCUAUUUAAUACAAUCAGUAAAAUGCGGAGAAAUAGUUAUAUCUCACACUUUUAAGAGUGCUUAGCUCAUCAGUUACACUGCGAUUCUUAUGCAAUACAACAGCGUUACGAAUGUCCUUCUCUAACAAAUUUUCAUAUGUCUCUGUUUCUCAUUUGCGAAUUAAAAAUACGAAGUGUUAAUGGAAUUGUAGUUGAAAUUUUAACCUUUUUUUUUAUAAUGGAAAAAUUGGGAAAGUAACAACGACCUUUCUUUGGUUAAUAAUUUUUGACUUUCCCUAUGUAACAUUUAGGAUUAAUUAGAGGAAUAUUGGAUAUUCAUUGAAAAUGGUUCUUUUCCACUUAACAUAAGUGGUAAAAAAAGCGACCAUCACUAUAUUUUAAAUACUUGCAAGAUUCUGGAAGUUGGAAAACUCCACUCAUUCGCACUUUCAAACACAACUUGAUAAGGAUUUCGGAUACUCGUAAUUUGCAACUUCGAAGACAUGCUGAUACAGGCUAGAUCAACUACAGCAUUAUGUUUUCCAUGAGUCAACACUUACUUUCUGAAGCGGUCCCUAAAAUUUGAAUAAGACAUCCAAACUUAACUAAAACUGGGUUAUUUGUACGGAACUAUGGUAUAUAAAAGUAAAAUGGACUGAUUUAAAAUUCUCGGUUAUAUUACAUAUAUAAAAUUUACAAGUUUAAAUAAA